rfam:Acetobacterium bakii strain DSM 8239 contig_40, whole genome shotgun sequence.
AAAGUUAUGUAGCCGCACAUAAAAGGUUUUAAGUCGAAAGCACCUUUUGUGGCGAGUCUGGAAUGAGGA